rnacentral:rRNA from 1 species
UGGGGAAUAUUGCACAAUGGGGGAAACCCUGAUGCAGCGACGCCGCGUGAGCGAAGAAGGUUUUCGAAUCGUAAAGCUCUGUCCUAUGGGAAGAUAAUGACGGUACCAUAGGAGGAAGCCCCGGCUAACUACGUGCCAGCAGCCGCGGUAAUACGUAGGGGGCAAGCGUUGUCCGGAAUCACUGGGCGUAAAGGGUUCGCAGGCGGAAAUGCAAGUCAGUUGUGAAAGGCAGAGGCUCAACCUCUGUAAGCAAUUGAAACUGUGUUUCUUGAGAUGUGGAGAGGCAAGUGGAAUUCCUAGUGUAGCGGUGAAAUGCGUAGAUAUUAGGAAGAAUACCGGUGGCGAAGGCGACUUGCUGGACACAAACUGACGCUGAGGAACGAAAGCGUGGGUAGCAAACAGG